AAGGCUGAAAGUGUUUGCAGUGGGGUACAACAUCAAAACCAUUUCCAAUAUAAAUUUUUAAGACAGCCAUGUAUUUGUGUCCCGGGCUUUCAAUUUGCCGAGUACACUGGAAAACGCUAACAAAUAACGACUCGCCCCUCUCUGUUAGCUCGUGGAAUAAUUUUCUUGGUGUUUGUUUAAAAAAAAAAAAAAAAAAAGAAAGAAAGAAAGAAAAAGUCGUUACAGACUAUUGUACACGUGCGCACGUAGAAGGGGCACUUGUCAGCAGUGACUAUUGUCUAUCGAGCAAAGCACCACCAGGAGGAUAGGUCCACAGGCUGGAGAGCUGCGGGAGAACUGAUAAAGCUAUACAAUAAGUAAAGAUGCACACAAUGGUCGGAAGCGACGGCGAAUGCAGCACAGCGAAGACGAGAGCAGCGUUUGUUUGGUUUGUAGCAGAAGAGGUGAUGAGUUAAAUAAAUGAAAAAACGA